rnacentral:rRNA from 1 species
GACGAACGCUGGCGGCGUGCUUAAUACAUGCAAGUCGAACGGAAAGGCCCUGCUUUUGUGGGGUGCUCGAGUGGCGAACGGGUGAGUAACACGUGAGUAACCUGCCCUUGACUUUGGGAUAACUUCAGGAAACUGGGGCUAAUACCGGAUCGGAGCUCCUGCUGCAUGGUGGGGGUUGGAAAGUUUCGGCGGUUGGGGAUGGACUCGCGGCUUAUCAGCUUGUUGGUGGGGUAGUGGCUUACCAAGGCUUUGACGGGUAGCCGGCCUGAGAGGGUGACCGGCCACAUUAGGACUGAGAUACGGCGCAGACUCCUACGGGAGGCAGCAGUGGGGAAUAUUGCACAAUGGGCGGAAGCCUGAUGCAGCAACGCCGCGUGCGGGAUGACGGCCUUCGGGUUGUAAACCGCUUUCGCCUGUGACGAAGCGUGAGUGACGGUAAUGGGUAAAGAAGCACCGGCUAACUACGUG